GUUGGGUAGGGGAGCGUUCUGUAAGCCUGUGAAGGUGGCCUGUGAGGGUUGCUGGAGGUAUCAGAAGUGCGAAUGCUGACAUAAGUAACGAUAAAGCGGGUGAAAAGCCCGCUCGCCGGAAGACCAAGGGUUCCUGUCCAACGUUAAUCGGGGCAGGGUGAGUCGACCCCUAAGGCGAGGCCGAAAGGCGUAGUCGAUGGGAAACGGGUUAAUAUUCCCGUACUUGGUGUUACUGCGAAGGGGGGACGGAGAAGGCUAUGUUGGCCGGGCGACGGUUGUCCCGGUUUAAGCGUGUAGGUGUGUGUUCCAGGUAAAUCCGGUUCACUUUAACACUGAGGCGUGAUGACGAGGCACUACGGUGCUGAAGCAACAAAUGCCCUGCUUCCAGGAAAAGCCUCUAAGCAUCAGGUAACA
rnacentral:rRNA from 1 species